ensembl:snRNA U1 U1 spliceosomal RNA
AUACUUACCUGGCAGGGGAGAUACCAUGAUCAUGAAGGUGGUUCACCCAGGGUGAGGCUCAGCCAUUGCACUUCGGCUGUGCUGACCCCUGCGAAUUCCCCAAAUGUGGGAAUCUCGACUGCAUAAUUUAUGGUAGUGGGGGACUGCGUUCGCGCUCUCCCCUG